rnacentral:lncRNA from 1 species
GCACAACCUAGGCGUGUAGGCGUGUAGCUGCAUACAUGUGACGGGAAAUAGGGAGACAACUUCGGCUUGGAUAUGCUAUUAUGCCUUUGUAAGUUUUACUGAUGCAAUUUUUUUUGAAAGAUCCCUAAAGUCAUUUACCCUUUUGCCACUGAGAAUUGUUUACUAUUGUGAAUUGUACAAGUGGUCUAAAUUGUCAAUUAAUGACAUAGACCUAGAUACCAUAAAACACCGUUGAUAAAUCGACUGAAAUAUGAACAUUCUUGGCCCAAAGUUACAGCAUUGCACCAAUUAAUUGUUAACCUCUUGGUUUUAAUGACAAUUGUUCUACUAGGAGUUUUUCUUCUGCUAGCAUUCCAUCAACAAUGUCAGUUGUAAUUAUAUAUAUAAAUAAAACCAAGACAAUCAGUGUGAUUAUUCUGCACAAUGUGUCCAAAUCACUCUUUUUUCCAUAACAUUAACAAUUGUCCUUUGACUGUCUAUGUGAACAUUCUCUAAAAUUUCAUUCCAAGUUAAGUAUGGUCUUCUUUGGGUAAUUUAUAUAGCAGAGUCUACAAGAAUUGGAUGCAAAUCCACUAUCCCCCCACCCCCACUGUAUUUACUGCAAUGCAUAUUUACCCGGAGCUCGCAUCUCAGCUGUAUGUCAAGUGCCAAGUCAGUUUUCACUAAAUACAAAUUUUAAAUAUACUGGUUGUAUAUUUAUGGAUUAUAGUUGAAAUUCUAAAAUGAAUAAAUAUUUUUGUAGUUGUAGUCCUAUAUACAACUACCUAAAACUGAGGUUGGCACAUCUUCAUUAGAAGCUAUGCUCACUAGCUUGAUUUCUCCUAGAGAUGUAGAAUGUUUAUUCCCACAAUGUUAUUUUGCAAUUUCCUUUUUUGAUGUAGCUGCUUAUCUAUCAAGUUUAUUUAGCAAAGUGUCUAUGAAAGCGUGCAGUUCAAAUAAUCGGGUUAUGUUACUCCUACUAAGUAUCCUAUAAAUGAUCUGAAUGAACACAAGUGAUGGUGUCCGUCGGACACGGUGCCCAAGGCGUAGACUGAACCCUUCUAAGGAGGCAUGUGGGGAUGCGUGCAAGACAUGCCCUCAUUCUAUGAAACAAAGUCAAAUGCAAAUGGGAGUAUGAGAGAUGGUGUAUGUGUUGGAAAUAUGCCCUAGAGGCAAUAAUAAAUUGGUUAUUAUUAUAUUUCCUUGUUCAUGAUAAUCGUUUAUUAUCCAUGCUAGAAUUGUAUUGAUAGGAAACUCAGAUACAUGUGUGGAUACAUAGACAACACCAUGUCCCUAGUAAGCCUCUAGUUGACUAGCUCGUUGAUCAAUAGAUGGUUAUGGUUUUCUGACCAUGGACAUUGGAUGUCAUUGAUAACGGGAUCACAUCAUUAGAAGAAUGAUGUGAUGGACAAGACCCAAUCCUAAGCCUAGCACAAGAUCAUGUAGUUCGUAUGCUAAAGCUUUUCUAAUGUCAAGUAUCAUUUCCUUAGACCAUGAGAUUGUGCAACUCCCGGAUACCGUAGGAAUACUUUGGGUGUGCCAAACGUCACAACGUAACUGGGUGACUAUAAAGGUGCACUAUGGGUAUCUCCGAAAGUGUCUGUUGGGUUGGCACGAAUCAAGACUGGGAUUUGUCACUCCGUAUGACGGAGAGGUAUCUCUAGGCCCACUCGGUAGGACAUCAUCAUAAUGUGCACAAUGUGAUCAAGGAGUUGAUCACGGGAUGAUGUGUUACGGAAUGAGUAAAGAGACUUGCCGGUAACGAGAUUGAACAAGGUAUCGGGAUACCGACGAUCGAAUCUCGGGCAAGUAUUGUACCGAUAGACAAAAGGAAUUGUAUACAAGAUUGAUUAAGUCCUUGACAUCGUGGUUCAUCCGAUGAGAUCAUCGUGGAGCAUGUGGGAGCCAACAUGGGUAUCCAGAUGCCACGGUUGGUUAUUGACCGGACAACGUCUCGGUCAUGUCUGCAUGGUUCCCGAACCCGUAGGGUCUACACACUUAAGGUUCGAUGACGCUAGGGUUAUAGGGAAUAGAUAUACGUGGUUACUGAAUAUUGUUCGGAGUCCCGGAUGAGAUCCCAGACGUCACGAGGAGUUCCGAAAUGGUCCGGAGGUAAAGAUUUAUAUAUGGGAAGUCCUGUUUUGGUCACCGGAAAAGUUUCGGGUUUUAUCGGUAACGUACCGGGACCACCGGGAGGGUCCCGGGGGUCCACCAAGUGGGGCCACAUGCCCCGGAGGGCUGCAUGGGCCAAGUGUGGGAGGGGACCAGCCCCAGGUGGGUUGGUGCGCCCCCCCACCAAGGCCCAAGGCGCAAGGAAGAGGGGAAGGGGGCAAACCCUAGGGAAGAUGGGCCCUAAGGCCCACCCUGGUGCGCCUCCCCCUCUCCCCUCCCCUUGGCCGCCCCUAGAUGGGAUCUAGGGGGCUGCCGCCACCCCUAGGGAGGGAACCCUAGGUGAGGGCGCAGCCCCUCCCCUCCCCCUAUAUAUAGUUGAGGUUUGGGCUGCCCAAUACACAUGAGUUCCUCUCCCUGUUGGUGCAGCCCUACCUCUCUUUCUCCUCAUAUCUUGCGGUGCUUGGCGAAGCCCUGCUGGAGUACCACGCUCCUCCACCACCACCACGCCGUUGUGCUGCUGCUGGAUGGAGUCUUCCUCAACCUCUCCCUCUCUCCUUGCUGGAUCAAGGCAUGGGAGACGUCACCGGGCUGUACGUGUGUUGAACGCGGAGGUGCCGUCCGUUCGGCACUAGGAUCUCCGGUGAUUUGGAUCACGACGAGUACGACUCCUUCAACCCCGUUCUCUUGAACGCUUCCGCAUAGCGAUCUACAAGGGUAUGUAGAUGCACUCUCCUUCCCCUCGUUGCUGGUUUCUCCAUAGAUAGAUCUUGGUGACACAUAGGAUUUUUUUUGAUUUUCUGCUACGUUCCCCAACAGUGGUAUCAGAGCUAGAUCUAUUGCAUAGAUUCUAUGCACGAGUAGAACACAAAGUAGUUGUGGGCGUUGAUUUUGUUCAAUAUGCUUACCGUUACUAGUCCAAUCUUGUUUCGACGGUAUUGUGGGAUGAAGCGGCCCGGACCGACCUUACACGUACUCUUACGUGAGACAGGUUCCACCGACUGACAUGCACUAGUUGCAUAAGGUGGCUAGCGGGUGCCAGUCUCUCCCACUUUAGUCGGAACGGAUUCGAUGAAAAGGGUCCUUAUGAAGGGUAAAUAGCAAUUGGCAUAUCACGUUGUGGUUUUGCAUAGGUAAGAAACGUUCUUGCUAGAAACCCAUAGCAGCCACGUAAAACAUGCAAACAACAAUUAGAGGACGUCUAACUUGUUUUUGCAGGGUAUGCUAUGUGAUGUGAUAUGGCCAAGAAGAAUGUGAUGAAUGAUAUGUGAUGUAUGAGAUUGAUCAUGUUCUUGUAAUAGGAAUUAUGACUUGCAUGUCGAUGAGUAUGACAACCGGCAGGAGCCAUAGGAGUUGUCUUUAUUUAUUUAUGACCUGCGUGUCAACUUAAACGUCAUGUAAUUACUUUACUUUAUUGCUAAAGCGUUAGCCAUAGUAGUAGAAGUAAUAGAUGACGAGACAACUUCAAGAAGACACGAUGAUGGAGAUCAUGGUGUCAUGCCGGUGACAAGAUGAUCAUGGAGCCCCAAGAUGGAGAUCAAAGGAGCUAUAUGACAUUGGCCAUAUCAUGUCACUAUUAUUUGAUUGCAUGUGGUGUUUAUCAUGUUUAUGCAUCUUGUUUACUUAGAACGACGGUAGUAAAUAAGAUGACCCCUCAUAAUAAUUUCAAGAAAGUGUUUCCCUAACUAUGCACCAUUGCGACAGUUCGUUGUUUUGAAGCACCACGUGAUGAUCGGGUGUGAUAGAUUUUUACAUUCGAACACAACGGGUGUUGACGAGCCUAGCAUGUAUAGACAUGGCCUCGGAACACAUGCAAAACACUUAGGUUAACUUGACGAGCCUAGCAUGUACAGACAUGGCCUCGGAACACAAGAGACCGAAAGGUCGAGCAUGAGUCGUAUGGUAGAUACGAUCAACAUGAAGAUGUUCACCGAUGUUGACUAGUCCGUCUCACGUGAUGAUCGGACACGGCCUAGUUGACUCGGAUCAUGUAAUCACUUAGAUGACUAGAGGGAUGUCAAUCUGAGUGGGAGUUCAUAAGAUGAACUUAAUUAUCCUGAACAUAGUCAAAAGGUCUUCGCAAAUUAUGUCGUAGCUCGCGCUUCAGUUCUACUGUUUAGAUAUGUUCCUAGAGAAAAUUUAGUUGAAAGUUGUUAGUAGCAAUUAUGCGGACUAGGUCCUUAAACUGAGGAUUGUCCUCAUUGCUUCAUAGAAGGCUUAUGUCCUUAAUGCACCGCUCAGUGUGCUGAACCUCGAACAUCGUCUGUGGAUGUUGCGCACAUCUGACAUACACGUUUUGAUAACUACGUGAUAGUUCAGUUAAACGGUUUAGAGUUGAGGCACCGAAGAUGUUUUGAAACGUCAUGAAACAUAUGAGAUGUUUUGAGGGCUGAAAUUGGGAUUUCAGGCUCGUGCCCAUGUCAAGAGGUAUAAGACCUCCAACGAUUUUCUUAGCCUGCAAACUAAGGGAGAAAAGCUCAAUUGUUGAGCUUGUGCUCAGAUUGUCUGAGUACAACAAUCAUUUGAAUCAAGUGGGAGUUGAUCUUCCAAAUGAGAUAGUGAUGUUUCUCCGAAGUCAUUACCACCAAGCUGCUAGAGCUUCGUGAUGAACUAUAAUAUAUCAGGGACAUAUAUGAUGAUCCUUGAGAUAUUCGCGAUGUUUGACACCACAAAAGUAGAAAUCAAAAGGGAGCAUCAAUCAUUGAUGGCUAGUAAAACCACUAGUUUUAAGAAGGGCAAGGGCAAGAAAUGGAUACUUCAUGGAACAACAAAUCAGUUGCUGUUCUAGUGAAGAAACCCAAAGUUGAACCCAAGCCCGAGACUAAGUGCUUCUGUAAUAAGGGGAACAGUCACUGAAGCAGAACCACCCUAGAUACUUGGUAGAUAAGAAGACUGGCAAGGUCGAUAGAAGUAUAUUGGAUAUACAUUGUGUUAAUGUGUACUUUACUAGUACUCCUAGUAGCACCAUGGUAUUAGAUACCGGUUCGGUUGCUAAGUGUUAGUAAACUCGAAAUAAAAAGCUACGGAGUAAACGGAGACUAGCUAAAGGUGAGCUGGCGAUAUAUGUUGGAAGUUUUUCCCAAGCUUGAUGUGAUCAAGCAUCGCACGCUCCCUCUACCAUCGAGAUUGGUGUUUGCGUUGAGCAUAGACAUGAUUGGAUUAUGUCUAUCGCAAUACGGUUAUUGAUUUAAGGAGAAUAAUGGUUACUCUGUUUAUUUGAAUAAUACCUUCAAUGGUCUUGCACCUUAAAUGAAUGGUUUAUUGAAUCUCGAUCGUAGUGAUACACAUGUUCAUGCCAAAAGAUAUAAGAUAGUAAUGAUAGUACCACCUACUUGUGGCACUGCCACGUAAGUCAUAUCGGUAUAAAAUGCAUGAAGAAGCUCCAUGUUGAUGGAUCUUUGGGCUCACUCGUUUUGAAAAGUUUGAGACAUGCGAACCAUGUCUAUUGGUGUAUAUGCAUGAAGAAACUCCAUGCAAAUGGACCGUUUGGACUCAAUUGAUUUUGAAUCACUUGAGACAUGCAAUUCAUACCACAUGGGCAAGAUGACUGAAAGCCUCGUUUUCAGUAAAAUGGAACUAGAAAGCAACUUGUUGGAAGUAAUACAUUUUGAUGUGUGCAGUCCAAUGAGUGCCGAGGCAUGUAGUGGAUAUUGUUAUGUUCUUACUUCACAGAUGAUUUGAGUAGAUGUUGAGUAUAUUUACUUGAUGAAUCACGAGUCUGAAUUAUUGAAAGGUUCAAGUAAUUUCAGGGUGAAGUUGAAAGAUCGUCGUGACAAGAGGAUAAAAUAUCUAAGAUAUGAUCAUAGAGAUGAAUAUCUGAAUUACGAGUUUGGCACAGAAUUAAGACAUUGUGGAAAUUGUUUCACAAUUAAUACAGCCUGGAACACCAUAGUGUGAUGGUGUGUCCGAACAUCAUAACCGCACCCUAUUGGAUAUGAUGCAUACCAUGAUGUCUCUUAUCGAAUUACCACGAUAGUUUAUGGGUUAGGCAUUAGAGACAACCACAUUCACUUUAAAUAGGACACCACGUAAUUCCGAUGAGAUGACACCGUAUGAACUAUGGUUUAGAGAAACCUAAGCUGUCAUUUCUUAAAAGUUUGGGGCUGCGACGCUUAUGUGAAAGGUUUCAGGCUGAUAAGCUCGAACCCAAAGCGGAUAAAUGCAUCUUCAUAGGACACCCAAAAUAGUUGGGUAUACCUCCUGUCUCAGAUCCGAAAGCAAUAAGGGGUUGUUUCUAGAAUCGGGUCCUUUCUCGAGGGAAAAGUUUCUCUUGAAAGAAUUGAGUGGGAGGAUGGUGGAGACUUGAUGAGGUUAUUGAACCGUCUCCUUAACUAGUGUGUGGCAGGGCACAGGGAGUUGUUCCUGUGGCACCUACACCAAUUGAAGUGGAAGCUUAUGAUAGUGAUCAUGAAACUUCAGAUCAAGUCACUACCAAACCUCGUGGGAUGACAAGGAUGCGUACUACUUCAGAGUGGUACGUAAUCCUGUCUUGGAAGUCAUGUUGCUAGACAACAAUGAACCUACGAGCUAUGGAGAAGCGAUGGUGGGCCUGGAUUCCAAAAUGGCUUGAGGCCAUAUAAUCCGAGAGAGGAUCCAUAUAUGAAAACAAAGUGUAGACUUUGGAAGAACUAAUCGAUGGUCGUAAGGCUGUUGAGUACAUAUGGAUUUUAAAAGGAAGACGGACAAUGAUGGUAAGUAUCACCAUUAAGAAAGCUCGACUUGUCGUUAAGAUGUUUUCCGACAAGUUCAAGGAGUUGACUACGAUGAGACUUUCUCACUCGUAGCGAUGCUAAGAGUCUGUUGGAAUUAUAUUAGCGAUUACUGCAUUAUUUAUGAAAUCUUGCAGAUAGGAUGUCAAAACAUUGUUUCCUCGACGAUUUUCUUGAGGAAAGGUUGUAUGUGAUACAAUCGGAAGGUUUUGUCAAUCCUGAAAGAUGCUAAUAAGUAUGCAAAGCUCCAGCAAUCCUUCUAAGGACUGGAGUAAGCAUCUCGGAGUUGGAAUGUACGCUUUGAUGAGAUGAUCAAAGAUUUUGGGUUUAUACAAAGUUUAUGAGAAACUUGUAUUUCCAAAGAAGUGAGUGGGAGCACUAUAGAAUUUCUGAUGAAUAUAUGUUGUUGACAUAUUGUUGAUCAGAAAUGACGUAGAAUUUCUGGAAAGCAUAUAGGGUCAUUUGGAAAGUGUUUUUCAAUGGAAAGCCUGGAUUAAGCUACUUGAACAUUGAGCAUCAAGAUCUAUAAGGAUAGAUCAAAACGCUUAAUGGUACUUUCAAAUGAGCACAUACCUUGACAUGAUCUUGAAGGUGUUCAAGAUGGAUCAGUCAAAGAAGGAGUUCUUGCCUGAGUUGUAAGGUAUGAAGUUAAGACUUAAAGCUCGACCACGGCAGAAUAGAGAGAAAGGACGAAGGUCGUCCCCUAUGCUUAAGACAUAGGCUCUACAGUAUGCUAUGCUGUGUACUGCACCUGAAAUGUGCCUUGCCAUGAGUCAGUCAAGGGGUACAAGAGUGAUCUAAGAAUGGAUCACAGGACAGCGGUCAAAGUUAUCCUUAGUAACUAGUGGACUAAGGAAUUUUCUCGAUUAUGGAGGUGGUAAAAGAGUUCGUCGUAAAGGGUUACGCCGAUGCAAACUUUGACACUAAUCCAGAUUAUUCUGAGUAGUAAACUGGAUUAGUAUAGUAGAACAGUUAUUUGGAAUAGCUCCAAAUGUAGCAUAGUAGUUGCAUCUACAAGAUGACAUAAGAAAUUUGCGAAGUACAUACGGAUCUGAAAGAUUCAGACCCGUUGACUAUAACAUCUCUCACAAGCAUAACAUGAUCAAGACCAGAACUCAUCGAGUGUUAAUCACAUGGUAAUGUGAACUAGAUUAUUGACUCUAGUAAACUCUUUGGGUGUCAGUCACAUGGGGAUGUGACCUUGAGUGUUAGUCACAUAGCGAUGUGAACUGGAUUAUUGACUCUAGUGCAAGUGGGAGACUAUUGGAAAUAUGCCCUAGAGGCAAUAAUAAAUUGGUUAUUAUUAUAUUUCCUUGUUCAUGAUAAUCGUUUAUUAUCCAUGCUAGAAUUGUAUUGAUAGGAAACUCAGAUACAUGUGUGGAUACAUAGACAACACCAUGUCCCUAGUAAGCCUCUAGUUGACUAGCUCGUUGAUCAAUAGAUGGUUAUGGUUUUCUGACCAUGGACAUUGGAUGUCAUUGAUAACGGGAUCACAUCAUUAGAAGAAUGAUGUGAUGGACAAGACCCAAUCCUAAGCCUAGCACAAGAUCAUGUAGUUCGUAUGCUAAAGCUUUUCUAAUGUCAAGUAUCAUUUCCUUAGACCAUGAGAUUGUGCAACUCCCGGAUACCGUAGGAAUACUUUGGGUGUGCCAAACGUCACAACAUAACUGGGUGAAUAUAAAGGUGCACUAUGGGUAUCUCCGAAAGUGUCUGUUGGGUUGGCACGAAUCGAGACUGGGAUUUGUCACUCCGUGUGACGGAGAGGUAUCUCUGGGCCCACUCGGUAGGACAUCAUCAUAAUGUGCACAAUGUGAUCAAGGAGUUGAUCACGGGAUGAUGUGUUACGGAACGAGUAAAGAGACUUGCCGGUAACGAGAUUGAACAAGGUAUCGGGAUACCGACGAUCGAAUCUCGGGCAAGUAUUGUACUGAUAGACAAAAGGAAUUGUAUACGGGAUUGAUUAAGUCCUUGAUAUCGUGGUUCAUCCGAUGAGAUCAUCGUGGAGCAUGUGGGAGCCAACAUGGGUAUCCAGAUCCCACGGUUGGUUAUUGACCGGAGAACGUCUCGGUCAUGUCUGCAUGGUUCCCGAACCCGUAGGGUCUACACACUUAAUGUUCGAAGACGCUAGGGUUAUAGGGAAUAGAUAUACGUGGUUACUGAAUGUUUUUCGGAGUCGCGGAUGAGAUCCCGGAUGUCACGAGGAGUUCCGGAAUGGUUCGGAGGUAAAGAUUUAUAUAUGGGAAGUCCUGUUUUGGUCACCGGAAAAGUUUCGGGUUUUAUCGGUAACGUACCGGGACCACCGGGAGGGUCCCGGGGGUCCACCAAGUGGGGCCACAUGCCCCGGAGGGCUGCAUGGGCCAAGUGUGGGAGGGGACCAGCCCCAGGUGGGCUGGGUAGCCCCCCCACCAAGGCCCAAGGCGCAAGGAAGAGGGGAAGGGGGCAAACCCUAGGGAAGAUGGGCCCUAAGGCCCACCCUGGUGCGCCUCCCCCUCUCCCCUCCCCUUGGCCGCCCCUAGAUGGGAUCUAGGGGGCUGCCGCCACCCCUAGGGAGGGAACCCUAGGUGAGGGCGCAGCCCCUCCCCUCCCCCUAUAUAUAGUUGAGGUUUGGGCUGCCCAAUACACAUGAGUUCCUCUCCCUGUUGGUGCAUCCCUACCUCUCUUUCUCCUCAUAUCUUGCGGUGCUUGGCGAAGCCCUGCUGGAGUACCACGCUCCUCCACCACCACCACGCCGUUGUGCUGCUGCUGGAUAGAGUCUUCCUCAACCUCUCCCUCUCUCCUUGCUGGAUCAAGGCAUGGGAGACGUCACCGGGCUGUACGUGUGUUGAACGCGGAGGUGCCGUCCGUUCGGCACUAGGAUCUCCGGUGAUUUGGAUCAUGAUGAGUACGACUCCUUCAACCCCGUUCUCUUGAACGCUUCCGCAUAGCGAUCUACAAGGGUAUGUAGAUGCACUCUCUUCCCCUCGUUGCUGGUUUCUCCAUAGAUAGAUCUUGGUGACACGUAGGAAAAUUUUUGAAUUUCUGCUACGUUCCCCAACAGUAUGGACCAAGUGAUGGGAGCAUCUCACGGGCGGCGGCCCUCACUUCAAGCUCGAUGAACUUAGCUUAAACAUGCUCUUGCACUGGCAUGGUCGUGAUAGGUUUGUCAUCUGGGCGAUUGCCCGUGUUCGUGAGGUUGCUGUGAUUUUUCACUAUAGGAAUUGAUAGCUUGACAGGUUAUUUGGCUUAGCCUAUGUUGUGUUGUUGCUUGUUUGUCUGAUCCCUAUCAUGCUGAUGUUUCAUACCAUGAUAGAUGUUUAUGGUUGUAAUAUUAUACCAUUGAUAGCUUUAGGAAAGGUGGUUGCUGAUUGAGAAAGUUGAGAGACAACUUACGGACACUAUAAUAGUUAGGAAUUUAUUGUUGGGACAAAAUUAUGUCGUUGUUUAUACACAUGCAUCAACUCUUCAUGUAGCUCACUACUUAUUCUAUGAUGAGAAUAACAACUGUAGAUAGAGUCAUUCAUCUUGCUUAUUUUCUAGAUGAAUAACUUCAUUAUGGGUCGUGUCAUCCGAGGCAAGUUGAUACUACCUACUGUAUGCAAAUUCCAGAUGCAUUAGGAGGGGAGUGACCAAGCCGGAGGGGCCGAGGUGCCCUCAUCAUGGUUGCUUGAUGGUGCAUCAUAGACCAGGCGAAGAAUCUCCUGGUGGAGCUUGGCAGAACCGAGUCACUUGGAGGAGAAGACACCAUGGAACCCUCGCCCGCUGCUGGUGGGCUUUGGCGAGGACGAGCGCUGGGAAAGGUUGUGCAUGACGCCCAGAUGUUGCGCCAAGGCCUUCCGCGCCCGCACCCGAGGUAGGUGCUUCACUAACAAGCUGCUACAAGUGUACAAGGCCUUCCGCGUUCAAGCUGAGAAGGCAAGAAGAUUUUGUUAUUAAUAGGGACAAAUAGGUGGCUAGCACAUCCUUUUUUGUUGGCUGAAGCGUUGGAGUGCUAAAGUUACAGAUGAAAAUCCAUCUUUGGUGCAUUUGUUUUCAGAUUAUUGCUGUUGGAGAUGAGCUACAGAGAGGGAGACACACACCCUUCUCGGUACAAAAUCCAUCUUUGGCGUACUUGGGGAAAUUUUGUCCAAGGGCAAUUCAUAGAUUGGAAUUAAGAUUUGGGGCUAUUUUGUUUGACUUGCUUUGUACGGAUGUUGCUAUGCUUUGUGUAUUGUUGUCAUUAUUGUAUAGUGAGAAGAUAUAGUGAGACAGAUGGAGAGAAAUUGCUAGCUAUUUUUUGUGAAAUUGGUGUGUUCUGUUGGCCAAGAUUAUUCUUUGUUGGUUGCUACAGCAAAUUGUUGUGAAGGAAACUGGGCAUAAUUAUGAGCGCGCAACGCUUGAAGGUGUUCGGCGAAGCUUGUGCCACCGGGCAAAAGCUCGCCUUGCUCGACUAGCUGACACUGCCAUCAACACAU